AAAAAAAAAAGGGGGGGGGUUUAAGAGCAUUUGCAGUGUAAGACUUUGACCUACCAACUCCCCAGGAAAAACUGGUUGAACCACCUGUCUUUUCUGUAGUGGGGUCCUCUAGGUUGAAUAAAUUGUGAAUUUGAGUGCUAUAGGCUUUUAUUUUUUAAUACUCCCUUUUAGGUGUUGAGCAUUUGUUGAUCUAAUCCUUUUUUUGUUUUGUUUUUUUUGUUGUUGUUGAUGUUUAUUUUCCCCCCAGCUUUUCUUCUUUUUUUUUUUUUUUAUUUUCCCACUGUACAGCAAGGGGUGAUCUAAUCCUUAAUGUUGUCUCCUGAUUAGUAAGCAUGAUGUUUUUUCAUCAUUCAGAAAGUCUUUUGCUUAGCUUUACUCUAGUGCCAAAUACUGGUCUAUUUUGGCAGAAUGACAUAAUUAUCCAGAUUAAGGGGUGUGGAUCCAAUGUAUUCUCUCCACUCCAGUUCCCUACUUUCAAAAUAGAACCACUGACUGGUUUAACAAGUUGGGUUGGAGUUUCAAAAUACAGUUCCAGCGCUUGUGACUGAGCUCUCUCCCUUUCAGUCUGAUUCAUCUUAGAUUGGCGUCUGAAGAGCUAACAUUACCUAGGAAGCUGUGCUUCCUGUGUCUUCAGCCUUAAGUGUCACUGCUGCUUUAGGGCAGCCUAAACCUACCCCUCCCUCUCCUUGCUCCUUGGCCCCCCAGCAAUGUCCUCUGGCAACCCCUAACCAGCCUUCCCCAUGCCUUUCUUCCUCCACUAUUGCCUCAACCCCUUUUGAAGGUCCUUUUCCCCAGUUGUCCACUGGGACAGCCUCUCCCUCCACUGACACCCCUGUUUUCCUACCAAACUUAAUAGGGCCGCCCAUCUCCCCAGCUGCCUUAGCUCUGGCCUCUCCCAUGAUAAAUCCAACUCUGAAAGGUGUUCAUUCGGCUUCCGCUCCCUUGGCUCUGGUGGCCUUGGCUCCCCACUCAAUUCAGAAGAGCUCUGGCCAUUUACCUAAAACUUUUAGUUCACCUCCUUCAGUUCCUGUGGCUGAGUCAGGAUCAGUGACGUCUCUAUCGGCUCCAGUUGCUUCCUCAGAACUAAAGACCUCUGUUAUUCAAGCUCCCUCUCAAGAAGUCCCUAAUCCAAAAGGAACCCCCAGCCCUCCAGGUAUAGUCAGUGCCAGUCCUUCCCAUCUUGUAACUCCUUUGGCCUCUGUUCAGUCUGGAAUGGUUUCAUGUCCUCAGACACCACCUUCCACUCCCAUAGCCAUCCCGUCCCCUCAGGUUACAGGCAUCCCUAUUUCCUCAGCUCUCACUUCUCCAGAAAACCCUCUAAGCCUCAGCCUAAAGGGACCCCUUAGUCCACCUGCUGCCUUACCUCUUUCAACUCAGUCUAUUCCUAUGGUUCCUGAUGUCCCCCCCGUUUUCCUCACUUCUCUGGGCUCUCAUCUUGCACCUUUAUGUCAGAGUUCUCUUGUUUCUCAUGUCCAAGCUUUAGGUCAAACAGACCCUAAUAUUCUGUCAGAUCCUACUGAGGAUAUUGUUUCUGUGGAUCAUUUUUCCACAGGUGCCUCUUACCCUUCUCAGAGAUCUGUAAUUCCUCCCCUUCAUUCCAGAAAUGAGGUGGUUCCUGAUGCUAUGGCUACUUUUCCAGUGGAGGCCCCAGCUUCCCCUCUGGCUCUGUCUGUUGACAAAGGCUCCUCUAUCAGUGACCUAGCCUCCUGUAGUCCUUCUGACUCCUCACAUGUGGCUGCCUCUUCAUUGUCUCCUUCAGCUUCUGUCAUUCUCAAAGCUUCUGGUGCUACUCAGCAACCUUUGCUGGCCCAGACUCCUGCUGCUUCUUCAGGGAGUACAGGCUUGAAAGAAGCUCCUGUUUCUUCUGUUGGAAACACCCCACCUGUAAUGACUAACCCCUCUGCAAUUUCUACAACACCCAUUACCUUUGAGGUAGCUUAUGUCUCUCCAGUUUCAUCAGAUCUCAUAAGCAGUAAGGACUCAGGUUCCCAAACUGCCUUGAUUAUGGCGCCUGUGGCUCCCAAAGAGCUUCCUACUCUUCAAGUAACCACCACUCUAGGGAUACCAGUCUCUCCACCUAUGUCAGCCCCUGAGCACCCAAAAAGUGUCCCCAUUUCACCAUCUCUGACAGCUCCUAAAAAUCUCCCCUCUUUGCAGAAUACAUCAUCUUCUCUGGAGAUAGCUCUUUCUCCUGAAGCCACUUUAGAAAAGAAAAGCUUUGUAGAGCCUCUCCCAGUAGUAAAGACAGCCAGUACUGCUCCCUCCUCUCUGGGUGUUAACUCCCCAACCUCUAUAAUCAAGACAGAUUCUUAUUCAAGCCCAGACCCAACUAGUCUGCUUCUCAAAAGUUCGCUCACUACCCCAGCUGUAGCUACAUUUCCUUUGGAAGGUGCUGCCUCUGAGGAGAUGGCCCCUACAACUGUCCAUGUUACCUCCACUCCUGCACCUACGGCCAGCACUUUUCUAGAAGGGGUUGUCUCUUUAGCUCUUAAAAGCCACCCAGCCAAGCAGGGUACUUCCACUCUUAAUACUUUACCAUUGAUCCCUCCAACCUCUGAAAGUUGCCCUGUGACUUUAUCUCCCCAUAGUGUUUCUGCUUCUCCAGAUACUAUGGCACAGGUCCCUGAAAUUCCCAAGUCUGAGUCCUUUCUCCCUCUUCCUCCAGCUGGUACUCUUCAAGGUACAAAGAAAGUUCAUAGUAUUUCUCAGUUGGCACCUGUGGCUUCCUCUCCUGAAGGGUACCCAGCUGAGGACUCUAGUACUUCUGUUACUGUGUCUUCCAAAGGAACUUACCUAGCUGACUCUCCAUCUCCUUCAGGGACUAGUGUGUCUCCUCAAACUAAAAGAUCUCCAACCAAGAAGGGUUCAGCUGCUUCUACCCUAAGUGUUACUCCUUCUGUUUCUAAAAGUGUACCUGCUAUCCCUGAUAAUGCUGCUGGAAAUCUAUCGUUUCCUAUUUCUCCAGUUGAGGCUUCCUCUCUUCCAGAAGCCAAUCUUCCCUUUCCUGUCCCUGAAGGAUCAUUAGCCAAGAAGCAUACCCCUACUCCUCCAUCUUCAAAAGGAGCCCCAGAUAACCCAUCCCCCAAAGACACUCCCAAUUCCCCACGUGUGGCUCCUCCUUCCCCUAGAGGGGAGCUGGCAACCCCAUCUCCUAAAGAGAUCCCCACUCCUCCAGGUAUGGCUCCUUCCUCCCCCAAAGGAAGCCCAGCAACUCCAUCUCCCAAAAAGGCCCCCACUCCCUCAGUUGUGGCUCCUCCCUCUCCCAAAGGUGGGCCAACAAGCCCACCCCAAGACACCCCUGCUCCUCCAGCUAUGACUCCUUCCUCCCCCAAAGGAGCCACAGCUGCCCCACCUCCUAAAGGAGCCGCUACUUCCCCCAAAGGGAGCCCAGCAACUCCAUCUCCCAAAAGAGCCUCAGCUACCCCAUCUCCCAAAGGGGACCCUCCUGCCUCAGUUGUGGCUCCUCCUUCACCCAAAGGGAACCCAGCAACUCAAUCUCCCAAAAGAGACCCUACUCCCCCAGCUGUGGCUCCUCCCUCUCCAAAAGGGGGCCCAGCGACUCCAUCUCCCAAAAAAGCUCCAGCUACCCCACCACCUAAAAGAGACCCCACUCCUCCAGCUGUGGCUCCUCCCUCUCCAAAAGGGGGCCCAGUGACUCCAUCUCCCAAAAAAGCUCCAGCUACCCCACCACCUAAAAGAGACCCCACUCCUCCAGCAGUGGCUCCUCCAUCUCCAAAAGGGGGCCCAGUGACUCCAUCUCCCAAAAAAGCUCCAGCUACCGCACCUCCUAAACAAGAUCCCACUGCCCCAGCUGUGGCUCCUCUUUCCCCCAAAGGGGCCCCACUCCCCCAGCUAUGGCUCCUCCCUCUGCAAAAGGGGGCCCAGUGGCUCCAGCUUCCCCACCUCCUAAAAGAGAUCCCACUCCUCCAGCAGUGGUUCCUCCCUCUCCAAAAGGGGGCCCAGCAACUCAAUCUCCCAAAAAAGCUCCAGCUUCCCCACCUCCUAAAAGAGGUCCCACUCCUCCAGCAGUGGUUCCUCCCUCUCCAAAAGGGGCCCAGCAACUCAAUCUCCCAAAAAAGCUCCAGCUUCCCCACCUCCUAAAAGAGAUCCCACUCCUCCAGCAGUGGUUCCUCCCUCUCCAAAAGGGGGCCCAGCGACUCCAUCUCCCAAAAAAGCUCCAGCUACCCCACCUCCUAAAAGAGACCCCACUCCUCCAGCUGUGGCUCCUCCCUCACCCAAAGCAGUCCCAGCAACUCCACUCAAAGGAGCUUCCACUCCCCCAGAUGUGGCUCCUCCCUCUCCAAAAGGGGGCUCAGCAACUCCAUCUCCCAAAAAAGCUCCAGCUAUCCCCCCUCCUAAAAGAGACCCCACUCCCCUGGCUGUGGCUCCUCCCUCUCCAAAAGGGGGCCCAGCAACUCCAUCUCCCAAAAAAGCUUCAGCUCCCCCACCUAAAAGAGACCCCACUCCUCCAACUAUGGCUUCUCCUCCAAAAGGGGCCCCAGUGACUCCAUCUCCUAAAAAAACUCCAGCUACCCCACCUCCUAAAAGAGACCCCACUGCCCCGGCUGUGGCUCCUCCCUCUCCCAAAGAGGCCCCAGCAACUCCACUCAGAGGAGCCUCCACUCCCCCAGAUGUGGCUCCUCCCUCUCCAAAAGGGGGCCCAGCAACUCCAUCUCCCAAAAAAGCUUCAGCUACCCGCCCUCCUAAAAGAGACUCCACUUCCCUGGCUGUGGCUCCUCCCUCACCCAAAGAGGCCCCAGCAACUCCACUCAGAGGAGCCUCCACUCCCCUAGAUGUGGCUCCUUCCUCUCCAAAAGGGGGCCCAGCAACUCCAUCUCCCAAAAGAGCCCCAGCUAUCCCACCUCCCAAAGGAGACCUUAUUCCCCUAUCUGUGGCCCUUCCCUCCCCCAAAACAGCUUCAACAUCUCUUUCCCCCAAAGAGGCCCCCAUUCCCUCAGCUGUGGCUCCUUCCUCCCCCAAGAGAGCCUCAGCAAGCCCAACCUCCAAAGGAGCCCCAGCUACCCCAUUCCCCAAAAGGGGCCCAGCCACUUCAUCCUCCAAGGGGGCUCCCAUUCCCCCAGCUAUGACUCCUCCCUCCCCCAAAGAGGCCCCUACUUCCCCAGUUUCAGUCACAUGUCCCUUGGGGUCCACUGCUCCUCAGGCAUCUAAAGAACUCCCAGUAAAGAAAGGCCUAACAACUCUCAAAGCAGUACUUGAUGCCCCGGCUCCAGAAGGUACACCAGUCACCGCAGCUCCCGUUCAGAAAGGUCCACCAGCCAAGAAGAGUUCUGCUAUUUCACCUAUGGGCCCAGAUCCCUCAGCUCAUAAUGGCACUAAAGGACCCCUUUCUGCAGUGGCUCCAGCUCCUCUACUGACAGCCUCUACUCAGAAAGGUUCCUCUCCAAAGACUACAAAAGCCCUUCCUAUUUCUCCCUUAAAAGGCAAAGAUUCUUUCCAUUCCCCAAGGGGCCCUAUGGCUCUUCCUUCUGAAUCUGCAACAUUGACCCCUUCAGCAACAACUGCCUUCUCCGAGAAGGUCCUUCCUAAAGCUGGAUCAGCAUGUGACUCUCCAGCACCUAUCCCAUCAGUGUCUCCGCCUCUUGCUCCCUCCCCAGCUCCCCCUCUGCUUCCUAAACAGCAAUUUCCGAUGUCCUCACCUGGGCUGGUGCUGGAAUCACCCUGUAAGCCCUCAGCCCCCGCUGAUGAGGAUGAGCUGCCGCCUCUGAUCCCCCCGGAACCAAUCUUGGGGGGAGUGCCUUUCCAGCCGGUCCUCGUCAACAUGCCCACUCCCAAACCUGCUGGGAUCCCUGCCCCACCCCCCUCUGCCAAGCAGCCUGUUCUGAAGAACAAUAAGGGGUCUGGAACAGAAUCUGACAGCGAUGAAUCAGUACCAGAGCUUGAAGAACAGGAUUCUACACAGGCAACUACACAACAAGCCCAACUGGCAGCAGCAGCUGAAAUUGAUGAAGAACCAGUCAGUAAAGCAAAACAGAGCCGGAGUGAAAAGAAGGCCCGGAAGGCUAUGUCCAAACUGGGUCUUCGGCAGGUUACAGGGGUUACUAGAGUUACUAUCCGGAAAUCUAAGAAUAUCCUUUUUGUCAUCACGAAACCAGAUGUCUACAAGAGCCCAGCUUCAGAUACCUACAUAGUUUUUGGGGAAGCCAAGAUCGAGGACUUAUCUCAGCAAGCACAGUUAGCCGCUGCUGAGAAAUUCAAAGUUCAAGGUGAAGCUGUCUCAAACAUUCAAGAAAACACACAGACUCCAACUGUACAAGAGGAGAGUGAAGAGGAAGAGGUUGAUGAAACAGGUGUGGAAGUUAAGGACAUAGAAUUGGUCAUGUCACAAGCAAAUGUGUCGAGAGCAAAGGCAGUCCGAGCCCUGAAGAACAACAGUAAUGAUAUUGUAAAUGCUAUUAUGGAAUUAACAAUGUAACCAUCUGAAAAGAGGACCCUUUUUUUGGUGUUUCAAAAGAGUAAUAACUGCAGCUUGGUUUGAAAUUUGUACUGUUUCUAUCAUUAAUAAAGUUAUGGCUUCUUGUUGGAUGAA